rnacentral:rRNA from 1 species
UGGGGAAUAUUGGACAAUGGGCGAAAGCCUGAUCCAACCAUGCCGCGUGUGUGAAGAAGGUCUUCGGAUUGUAAAGCACUUUAAGUUGGGAGGAAGGGCAGUAAGCGAAUACCUUGCUGUUUUGACGUUACCGACAGAAUAAGCACCGGCUAACUCUGUGCCAGCAGCCGCGGUAAUACAGAGGGUGCAAGCGUUAAUCGGAAUUACUGGGCGUAAAGCGCGCGUAGGUGGUUCGUUAAGUUGAAUGUGAAAGCCCCGGGCUCAACCUGGGAACUGCAUCCAAAACUGGCGAGCUAGAGUAGGGCAGAGGGUGGUGGAAUUUCCUGUGUAGCGGUGAAAUGCGUAGAUAUAGGAAGGAACACCAGUGGCGAAGGCGACCACCUGGGCUCAUACUGACACUGAGGUGCGAAAGCGUGGGGAGCAAACAGG